rnacentral:rRNA from 1 species
UACGUAGGGGCUAGCGUUAUCCGGAAUUACUGGGCGUAAAGGGUGCGUAGGUGGUUUCUUAAGUCAGAGGUGAAAGGCUACGGCUCAACCGUAGUAAGCCUUUGAAACUGGGAAACUUGAGUGCAGGAGAGGAGAGUGGAAUUCCUAGUGUAGCGGUGAAAUGCGUAGAUAUUAGGAGGAACACCAGUUGCGAAGGCGGCUCUCUGGACUGUAACUGACACUGAGGCACGAAAGCGUGGGGAGCAAACAGGAUUAGAUACUCGCGUAGUCCCUGAG